UACGAGGGGGGCAAGCGUUGUUCGGAAUUAUUGGGCGUAAAGGGCGCGUAGGCGGUUUGACAAGUCUGAUGUGAAAUCUAUGGGCUCAACCCAUAGCCUGCAUUAGAAACUGUCGGGCUUGAGUAUGGGAGAGGUGAGUGGAAUUUCCGGUGUAGCGGUGAAAUGCGUAGAUAUCGGAAGGAACACCUGUGGCGAAAGCGGCUCACUGGACCGUAACUGACGCUGAGGCGCGAAAGCUAGGGGAGCAAACAGG
rnacentral:rRNA from 1 species